rnacentral:rRNA from 1 species
CAGUAGCCACGGUAAUACAGAGGGUGCGAGCGUUAAUCGGAUUUACUGGGCGUAAAGCGUGCGUAGGCGGCUAAUUGAGUCGGAUGUGAAAUCCCCGAGCUUAACUUGGGAAUUGCAUUCGAUACUGGUUAGCUAGAGUGUGGGAGAGGAUGGUAGAAUUCCAGGUGUAGUGGUGAAAUGCGUAGAGAUCUGGAGGAAUACCGAUGGCGAAGGCAGCCAUCUGGCCUAACACUGACGCUGAGGUACGAAAGCAUGGGGAGCAAACAGGAUUAGAGACCCCUGUAGACCCUGUCUCUUAUAC